rnacentral:rRNA from 1 species
AGACGAACGCUGGCGGCAGGCCUAACACAUGCAAGUCGAACGAACUCUUCGGAGUUAGUGGCGGACGGGUGAGUAACACGUGGGAACGUGCCUUUAGGUUCGGAAUAACUCAGGGAAACUUGUGCUAAUACCGAAUGUGCCCUUCGGGGGAAAGAUUUAUCGCCUUUAGAGCGGCCCGCGUCUGAUUAGCUAGUUGGUGAGGUAAAGGCUCACCAAGGCGACGAUCAGUAGCUGGUCUGAGAGGAUGAUCAGCCACAUUGGGACUGAGACACGGCCCAAACUCCUACGGGAGGCAGCAGUGGGGAAUCUUGCGCAAUGGGCGAAAGCCUGACGCAGCCAUGCCGCGUGAAUGAUGAAGGUCUUAGGAUUGUAAAAUUCUUUCACCGGGGACGAUAAUGACGGUACCCGGAGAAGAAGCCCCGGCUAACUUCGUG